UCGCCUGUUUAUUCAAAAACAUCGCCUCUUGCUAACAUAAGAGGUCCAGCCUGCCCAGUGACUUCUGUUUAACGGCCACGGUAUCAUAACCGUGCAAAGGUAGCGUAAUAACUUGUCUUCUAAAUGAAGACUAGUAUGAAAGGCAUCACGAGGGUUAAACUGUCUCCUUUUUCUAAUCAGUGAAACUAAUCCCCCCGUGAAAAAGCGAGGAUAAAAUUAUAAGACGAGAAGACCCUAUGGAGCUUUAAACUUAACAGCACUUAUUAACAAAUUUAAAAUAGCCUUCUCAAAUACCCUGCUGUAAGUUUUAGGUUGGGAAGACCGCGGAGAAAAGCUAAUCCUCCACAAUGAAACAGAACUCACUCUUAAGCAAAAAGCCACAACUUAACGCAUCAACACUCUUGACAUCCAUUGACCCAAUAAUUUGAUCAACGAACCAAGUUACCCUAGGGAUAACAGCGCCAUCCAUUUUGAGAGCUCCUAUCGACAAAUGGGCUUACGACCUCGAUGUUGGAUCAGGGUGCCCAAGUGGUGAAGCCGCUACUAAUGGUU
rnacentral:rRNA from 1 species